UGCUGACAACGCGCCUUAGUCAUGGUUUGGCAAAUCAGACCACGGCCAUAAGUGGCCAUAAAGUUGAUAGCUUGUGGCGUGACCUUUUCGGCCGCCAUAAUCA
rnacentral:antisense_RNA from 1 species